rnacentral:rRNA from 1 species
CGCUGGCGGCACGCUUAACACAUGCAAGUCGAACGGAGUUAUUUGGAGCUUGCUCUGAAUAACUUAGUGGCGGACGGGUGAGUAACACGUGAGCAACCUGCCUUUGAGAGUGGAAUAGCUUCUGGAAACGGAUGGUAAUACCGCAUAACAUUACCGGACCGCAUGAUCUGGUAAUCAAAGAUUUAUCGCUCAAAGAUGGGCUCGCGCCUGAUUAGAUAGUUGGUGGGGUAACGGCCUACCAGGUCGACGAUCAGUAGCCGGACUGAGAGGUUGGACGGCCACAUUGGGACUGAGACACGGCCCAGACUCCUACGGGAGGCAGCAGUGGGGAAUAUUGCACAAUGGGCGGAAGCCUGAUGCCAGCGAUGCCGCGUGGAGGAAGAAGGUUUUCGGAUUGUAAACUCCUUAUCUGAGGGACGAUAAUGACGGUACCUCAGGAGAAAGCUCCGGCUAACUACGUGCCAGCAGCCGC